GACGAACGCUGGCGGCGUGCUUAACACAUGCAAGUCGAGCGGUAAGGCCCCUUCGGGGGUACACGAGCGGCGAACGGGUGAGUAACACGUGGGCGACCUGCCCUCAGCUCUGGGAUAAGCCUGGGAAACUGGGUCUAAUACCGGAUAUGACUCCAUGACGCAUGUCGUGGGGUGGAAAGCCUUGUGCGGCUGGGGAUGGGCCCGCGGCCUAUCAGCUUGUUGGUGGGGNGAUGGCCUACCAAGGCGACGACGGGUAGCCGGCCUGAGAGGGCGACCGGCCACACUGGGACUGAGACACGGCCCAGACUCCUACGGGAGGCAGCAGUGGGGAAUCUUGCGCAAUGGGCGAAAGCCUGACGCAGCGACGCCGCGUGAGGGAUGACGGCCUGGUGUAAC
rnacentral:rRNA from 1 species